rnacentral:sRNA from 1 species
GCCGUCCCCAAAGCUCGCUGUUCGCUUCUCUGCCUGACAGCUGCCCUGCCGCCACCUGGCAGUCCCAGCUUCCCCAAACCAGUCUUCCGGCCUCUGCGGCGCCCCAGGCCCGCGGGAUUUAGGGAUUAGGAUCUGGAAGGGUUUGGUCCAAUCCCCUCUCCCUCUCAGCGUCCUGGGCUCACCUCCCCGGCAGCUUAGCGCUCCUCUUCCAAAACUGCUUGCUGUUCUCAGCGGCCAUUGCUCUGGCCUGGGGAAGGCCUUGUAGGCGGGCCAAGGGGUUGCCCGGCGAGAUGCCCCCAGACCCCGCAAUCUGAGGGCCAACCCAGGCCGCUUCCCCGCCGCCGGUCACCCGCUCCCAGCUCCUGGGGACGCCAUCUUGGAUGUGGGCACCCCUCCACCCAGCACCGCUGCCAUUGGUGAGCUGCGCAAGCCGUGGACGGGCCGACCAAUCGGGAGCCGGAAUCCUGCAGGCUGCUGAAGCCAACGGGCAACGUCAGGGGCUGGGCACACAGGUGGACGGGGAAGGCGGAGCUUGGACGAGCAGAGAGGCGGGGCUCAAAGUUCCUACCCGAGAGAGGGAAGAAGCAGGUAAGGAGGUCUCAGCAUGAAACAGCAGCAGUGGUGUGGGAUGACUGCCAAAAUGGGCACCGUGUUGUCAGGGGUCUUCACCAUCAUGGCCGUAGACAUGUAUCUCAUCUUUGAACAGAAGCACCUAGGGAAUGGCAGUUGCACUGAGAUCACACCAAAGUACGAGGGUGCAAGUGACAUCAUAAAUAACUUCAUCAUCUGCUGGAGUUUUAAAAUCGUCCUCUUCCUGUCUUUCAUCACCAUCAUCAUCAGCUGCUUCCUCCUGUACUCAGUGUAUGCCCAGAUCUUUAGGGGCCUGGUCAUCUACGUUGUCUGGAUUUUUUUCUAUGAAACUGCAAACAUCGUAAUACAAAUCCUCACCAACAAUGACUUUGGCAUUAAAGAGGUCAGAAUCAUGCGCUGGUUUGGCUUGGUGUCUCGUACAGUCAUGCACUGUUUCUGGAUGUUCUUUGUCAUCAACUAUGCCCACAUAACCUACAAAAACCAGAGCCAGGGCAAUAUAAUUUCCUACAAGAGACGAAUUUCUACAGCGGAGGCUCUCCACAGCAGAAAUAAAAGAUUAUCAGUUUUGAGUGGGUUCAGUGGCUCACACCUGGAAUCCCAGUACUCUGAGAGGCAGAGGUAGGUGGAUCGCCUGAGGUCAGGAGUUCAAGACCAGCCUGGCCAACAUGGCAAAACCCCGUCUCUACUAAAAAAAAUAGAAAAUUAGCCAGGCGUGGCGGCACACGCCUGUAAUCCCAGCCACUUGGGAGGCUGAGACUGGAGAAUCACUUGACCUGGGAGGUGGAGGUUGCAGUGAGCCGAGAUUGUGCCACUGCACUUCAGGCUGGGUGACAGAGCAAGACUCUGUCUCAAAAAAAAAAAAAAAA